UUCAAGAGGACGUGAAACCGCUGGGAUUGAAGCGGAUAGAAUUGACGUAACCCGUACUAAUAUUCAGCCGAUUCGAUGCGUGUAUUUGAAUGUUGAUGUACACGUUAUGUGCGUUUGUCAGCAAUGCGUUCGUCAUAACGAGACAUUUGAGCAAAUGUUUCACGUAUGUAAUAUUUGUACUGUAAUCGGUGCUUUUAUUAGUGGUAUGCGUCGAGAGUCUUGUCAUUUUAAUGUGUGCGCAUGCGUCAACACAUUUAUGCGUACGUGUAAAUAUGCGUACGUAUAUUUUGUGUAUGGCGCACAUCUCUACGUAGCGUUUAACUUAGUAGAUCACCGUCGUUUUUUUCAAUAGAAACGUUGUGUGAAUCUUGAGUUAUGAAGGUACGAAUUUAUUUCGAUGUUAAACGUAUAAUAGUGUGAGUUGAUAUAGCGCACGAUAGCGUUUCGUCGAAGAGAGCGUAUCGCUGAUAAGAUUUGAAAUCUCGACGUGAACGUCGAUCACCUAUCCGACCCGUCUUGAAACACGGACCAAGGAGUCUAGCACAUACGCGAGUUAAUAGGUGUUGAAAACCUAUAGGCGUAAUGAAAGUGAAUAUUAUGUGAAGUGUUUCGCAUAAUUAAUGUGCGAUUUGUACGUAAUGAUGGUUUGCUUAAAAAACGAACGCAUCAUAGACGGACGAUGCAGCAUAGCCCCGUUUAUGUUGGAGUGUACGUUUUCAAAUGCGUAUGCGCAACUGAUCGGAGGUAGAGCGUAUGCGCUGGUACCCGAAAGAUGGUGAACUAUGCCUGAGCAGGAUGAAGCCAGAGGAAACUCUGGUGGAAGUCCGAAGCGGUUCUGACGUGCAAAUCGAUCGUCUGACUUGGG
rnacentral:rRNA from 1 species